GAAACAAGGCGGAAUCUCAUUUAACCCCUGAAGUCCAGCCGCGUUCUGAGAGUUUCUCUCAUACCCGAAACAACUAAAGCCAACGUGAACUUUUGCGGACCCCGUGGUCCGCU
rnacentral:other from 1 species